GACGAACGCUGGCGGCGUGCUUAACACAUGCAAGUCGAGCGGAAAGGCCCUGCUCUUGCGGCUUGCUCGAUUGGCGAACGGGUGAGUAACACGUGAGUAACCUGCCCUUGACUUUGUGGUAACUUCACGAGACUGGGUCUAAUACCGGAUAGGAGCUCCUGCUCCACAUUGGGGGUUGGAGAGUGUCGGCGGUGGGGGAUUGACUCGCGGGUUAUGAGCUUCUUUGUCUGGUAGUUGCUUUCCAAGUCUUUGACGGCUAGGCGGCCUGAGAGGGUGACCGGCCACAUUGGGACUGAGAUACGGACCAGACUCCUACGGGAGGCAGCAGUGGGGAAUAUUGCACAAUGGGCGGAAGCCUGAUGCAGCAACGCCGCGUGCGGGAUGACGGCCUUCGGGUUGUAAACCGCUUUCGCCUGUGACGAAGAGUGAGUGACGGUAAUGGGUAAAGAAGCACCGGCUAACUACGUG
rnacentral:rRNA from 1 species